rnacentral:rRNA from 1 species
AAGAAAAGAGGGAAAAAGAAGCCAGUAUCAGGCACUAAAUAACAGGCCCACAACACUAAGCAAUACGCCACAACUGCAGUGCUAAACAUUGGACAAUCGGAAAAAUCCAGAUCCAGCAAAGAAAGUAUGAAGGAGGUAAAAUACGUGCCAGCCACCGCGGUUAUACGUAAUUCCUAUAGUUAAAUAGCACGGUGAAAAGGGUGGUUAGAAGAAGAACACAAUUGGUUGUAGCUUUGAGCUAGUGGUAAAAAACUAAUCUCACAAGAAACUCUUAUCUCCAAAUUAAACAUUUGAGGCCACGAAAACUAAGGCCUAAACCAGGAUUAGAUACCCUGUUAUACUUAGACGUGAACAACCUUAAGCACCAGAGAACUACGAACCUAAAGUUUAAAACUCAAAGGACUUGGCGGUUUUCCAAACCUCCCUGGAGGAGCUUGCCAUUGAAUCGAUAAUCCACGAAACACCUCACCAACUUUUGUAACAACAGCUUGUAUACCAUCGUCGUAAGUCUACUUCUUGAGAAAGUUGACUUUAAGGAAGA